UUUGCUUGGGGCUUGUUCGAUAUUAAAGGCCUUUUGGUUUAGUUUGGUACUGAAAUUUAUCGGGCAUUAUUAGAUAAAAUAAAAUUUGGAUAAAAAUAUGUAGCAAUAUGCUUCUAUUUUGAGAUUGCGAAAAAUAUAUCAUAAUUGAUUCAUCGCAAUAUACGAAACGUAAUAUUACGUAUGAAAACAAAUAGAAUAUUUUUUUAUCAUACUUUCUCUAAUGUAAUCUCAUCGCAAUUCCAAAUAAAACCAAUUAUCUCAGGUGUCAGUGAUAUGCAUUAUUGUAGGGCUGUAGAGUUGUGGUGUUCGAGAUUCUUCAUACACCCGGUGCAAGAAAAUAUCUCCCUUGGACGUGGCGACUCGAUUUGAGACCACGUGGAACGGUUCCUUAGGCACGUGUGGGACCCACACGCGAAAACGAUUGGUAUUUUUUAAAAAACUUUUUUAAAACAAGGACUCGGUCCUUGUGCAUCAUUAUGAAGAAUAUUUUAACAUCAGGAACAAGCCAACUUAGUAAUCAUUAAAUUUAGUUACUUAAUAAGAAUCUAACAAUUUAAAGCUUAAUUAAAAUUUUAAAUAAUUGAUAAGCCUACGUUACAUAGUUCAAAAAGUUUAUAUUAAUUAAUAUAUUUAAAUGGCAACAUAAAUAGCACGUGUUAUAUUUAGUUUCCGAAUGAAUUUUAAAUUAUUCUAUAUGAAUUACUAGGAUGUCACAAAUAAUAUUCUGCCACUUUUAAAAUAAUAUUAAUAGAAUGUAUGAUAAGAUAAUUUUGCCUCUUGGAAUAAUAGAUAAAAUUUAUCAUUUCAUAAUUUUUAUAAAUUUUUUAAUGAUAUGAUUCUCAUUGGACCCACAUUGAAUCUAAGUAUCCGAAUCAAAAGCAAUGUAGAUGAAGAUAAAGUGCAAAAGGUAAAGAUAAUCAUAAGGUCCCCAUUUUUUUUUAAUAAGCUAAUAAAAUAAAAAAAUUAAUUAAAAUUUUCUUUAUUAGCCUAAAGACAUAUUUUCUGAUAAAAAAAAAAAUCAUAUGGGUUUGAGUCUUACAUUAACCUACAAAAUUGGGAUCUCAAUGGAAUUUGAUGCAUCUAAUUUGAGUAGAAUUAUACAAAUUAAAUUGAAUAAUAACUGAUAAAUAGUUAAUUUUGCAGCUCUAGUAAAUGUUUUUCCUUUAUUUAAUUUUAAAUUUAUUAUCUAACAUGCAACUAAAAUAGAUGUCUAAUUAUCCCAUAAAAAUAUUAGUUCCAUUUGAGAUAAUGAUAAAAUAUAUAUUCAAAUUUUAUAUAAUUUUUUAAGUGCGAAAAUAGUUGAUAGAUAGUAUUUUUAAUUUACGAUCAAUCAAAGUUUAGUUUGCAGAUACAUUCCAAUAAUUUGUGUUUAUCUCCUACAAGUAAAUUCUAAUACAAAAUAUUUUAAUCUCCAAUAUGCAAUGUACAAAUAAAAUUGACAAAAUUUGGUAAUAGUAUUUCAAAUUAUGAUUGUUAAACAAUUUAAAAUUUUAAAAAAAAUACAGAGAUUGAAAGAAUUAGUUUAAUGAAUAAGGAGUUUCUUAUAGAAUUUUUAUUAGCAAAUAAUGGGCUCAAUGGAAUAGCAAAAAUUUACACGAGGAUAUAUCUUUUACUCGAAAAGACAAAAAAAAAAAAAAAGAGUACAAAUCAAACUCUUUUACCUCUUAAAAGAUUAAAAGAAAAAAAAAAACUAAAGCUCUAAAUGUACUAAUUAGAAGAAAAAAUCGAUGCGAAUAUAUCUCAAAAAAUACUCCAUCACCAUUGCGACCAAUUGCGCCUCCUGCAAACCAAAAAGAAAGAGCCACAACAAUCCCAGCGCCGUCAUCUUUGCCCUUAAUACCAGGAGCAUAGAGAAUUUGAUAUCGAUGCGAAAAAAGCUAAGAAUUUUGAAUAGAUAGCCCAUAGAAAUAGUGCAGAUGAGGACUAGCGAAGUGAGAAAAAAGGCGACGUUAACGACGGCAUUGUUGUGGUGGUUAGCCGCAAAGUGCGGGGGUGCUUGUGGCACUCCGGCCAUUGCUUUCAAUUUUAUGAACCUCUUAAAAUUUUAAAUAGGCUUCUGUAUAUAUAAUUUUUAAAUAUAUAUAUAUGUUUUUCUGAACGUGAUUCAUACUUGGAUAUGGAUAUGAAUAUAGAGACAUAGAUUCUAGAAUUCGAUUUUUUAUUUUUCCGUCCCAUAUAUGCACUAGAAAGAUAUACCAAUCUAUUCCGUAAUAAAUUUUAUAUAUAAGAUUUUGAAUUGCCUAUAUGCCCCGGGUGAGUCGGUGACUCGAAAGAGAAGUCGUCGGCCCACGGACCCAAAACGCCGAGUUUAAUUAGAGUGUAAUGGGAGUUAACCCGAAUUCGGUGGCGACAUCCGAAAUUUGCCGAGUUCGACUCCUGUUGAUUUUCCCUCGUGUUUUGAUCGGGGAAUUUUCCUGCACCUGGUUCGCCACGUAAUGGAUUGAUUACAGCAUUGGUACCCAAACCCUUUUUUUUCCCCCCUAAAUUUUGGUUUCCAAUAUUUAUUUUUUUGCAAUUAGGUUAUUACUCUAGUGUCAUGAAUCAUAUGAAUGAUUGUUUUUACUAGUAAUUGUGAUUGGAGUUAAUAUUAGCUCGAGUUUUCUUUUCCUUUUUUUUUUUCAUUUUUAAAUUUUCUGGUGUUUGUCUCUCCUAAUUUGAAUGGGAUGGUUGCAUGUAAUAAAAGGUUAUUUUCGUUUUAUAUUGUAAAAUUAUGGUCAAUAUUAUAUUAUUUGUGUAGUUAGAUUGGAGUAAUCAUAGAUUCAUCGUGCUCUUGAAGUGCUUGUAAACUGUUUAUAAAAUUUGACCCUCUGUUUAAUAAACCCUUCAAAUGUGAGAACUCUUUCCACAGAGAAUAAGAAAUUAAAAGGCGAAUUCGUUGUAAAUUGUUUUAACAAAAAAUAAUAAUCUACAAAAAUCGUGGUAAAUUAUUUUAAAACAAAAAAAACAAAAACAAAAAAAAAAAACUGGUUAAAAUUUUUCCGACCUGCCGGAUUCGAACCAGCGACCUAAGGAUUUAUCUGCACGCACUACAGUCCUCCGCUCUACCAACUGAGCUAAGGUCGGAUCAUAUUUAAUUUUAAAAAUUCAUUAUUUUAUACAUAUGAAUAACUAUAAUAACACUUUAUAGAUCUUACACACGUUACAUCCUAAAAUUUAUUUAUUUACUUAAGAUUUUAAUUAGAAUAAAAAAAAUGAUGAAAUGAGAAGAAAAAAGUAAAAAGGGCGGUUUGAUGGGUGAGAUAAACAUUUUUUUUAUUCUAAUUAAAAUCUUAAGUAAAUAAAUAAAUUUUAGGAUGUAACGUGUGUAAGAUCUAUAAAGUGUUAUUAUAGUUAUUCAUAUGUNAUUUACUUAAGAUUUUAAUUAGAAUAAAAAAAAUGAUGAAAUGAGAAGAAAAAAGUAAAAAGGGCGGUUUGAUGGGUGAGAUAAACAUUUUUUUUUUUUUUUGAGAUAAAGGUAAACAUUUUCUUACACCUAAUUGUCUGUAGGUACCAUGACUCUUUUUCAAAAUCGUUCAAAUUUAUUCUCAUCUACUCAUUAAUAAUGAGCAUGAUUUUUCGCCCGUUCUUUACAAUAUUUAAACUGCUGAAGCCAACAUUCAAUGGUCCGGUCACACAACAUUUACAGUUAUACCCAAACAUUAUGACUUCUUUUCGACUUUAAUUUCUUCAAUUUUACCGAAAAUAGAUGAAAAAAACCACCUUGCUAACAUGCAAUCAACAUUUUGAUGGCCCAAUGAACCAACAAAUGGAUGCAAUAGAUUUUCUUCUUAAACAUUCAAAAUAUCCGGAAAGAAGAUGAUGAAUCGCAACUACCAAGAACAUAUGCGCCAUUAAAAACACAAACCAGCAGGAAUAAAUAAAAAUCCAAAUAAAAGUGCAUUACAAGAUAAUUCUCAGUGCAACAAAGAAAAGAACAUCAGCAGCUAAGAAGAGGAAUCCUAAUGCCUUUCAAACUCAAUGCAAAAAGUUCAAAGCUUCGCUGAAACAUGUCCGGGGGGAUGAGGAGGAUGAUGCCCUAGCAGCUACCAACUCAAUUCCGACCUCUACUUUGAUCUCUGCCUCAUCUUUCGGCGCUUCCUCUUCAGCCUCCUCAUGCGCUUCUUCUUCCACUGUAGAAAAUUGAAAAUAGAAAAAACAAUCAACAUCCAAAUACAGGAACAACUUAAUGGAGAAGCUGCAAUUACCAAAACCUAACAAAUUUCACAUUAUUCUGCGAAAUCAGAAUAUUCAUAAGGUGCAAUUUACCUACUCUCUCUUCAAAAACUGUAAAACUAUCUUAAAUCAAUACCAACCUCCCCCAAUAAAUUGCACGACAAUUCGACAACUCAACUUUAGGAAUUUCUAACAAGGAACUGCACCUUCAAGCGUUAUACAAGAAAACUCACAUUUUACCGCAAUGUACAUGUAAAUAAAUAAUUCUUCAGACAGUGUUUAGGACACAAACUUAUAUCAAGAAACAAAACCUAAGAGAAUAAGCUCAAAGUUAUGCAUAUAUGUACAUGUGCAAGCACACUCAUGGUGGUGAAAGAAAACCAUUCAGAUACAAACUCGUAUCUUCGAAGCAAAAUGCAUAAUGUGCACGGAGAAAAAUCUUGAGCAAGCAAGGUGCAGUUUUGGGCUGACAAUGUUGUUAGUGAAGUUCACAACAAGAUUAUCCAACAGACUCAAAUCCUUUCCACACUGCAUAUCAUGUCAAGAUAAGAGCUUUCCUUCAACUCACUAAUGCUAUAGCAGUUCAAACAAAGAAUUUAGCAUUCCUCAUGCCAUGAUCAAUUAUGUGGGUUCAAAAAAGCGAUACACAGGGAAAAGUCCAGUAAAUUUCUCCAAUAGUCGAAUUGUCUUAAGACGAUUGUCCAUAUCACUAAACCUCACUUUAUCUCUCAUCCUCGGGCAUCUUACAUUAUAAGUAGGUUUUACAGCUACUGCGACGAAGUACCCUUCGGAAUGUCAGCAACUGCAACUAUGAGAAAGUAAACAAGAUGAUUAUGUCACCUUCACAGUUAUUGUUCCCACACAAGGUCAAAGAGACCCUGAGAUUUACAUGUUAAGAUUAUUGUUAUCAGACUACAGGGAUCUUUAACUACAUUAUCACAACAAUAGCAAAACAAUCAAACGUAUAGAUAAGGAAUCGAUUCAGAUCAACCAAAAAAAAGGCAAAUUUUAGGCUGUCAAUCAAUUUAUACUAACCAGAUGCAUCAAAUGAGCAAAAAACUAACAGAUUAUAGGCGAUUAAAAAAUCUCCACUGAAUAUAUUCAGAAGAAAGGUUGUGGAUAGAUUAAAUGUGCAAAACCCCUGUUAUAAGGCAGCCAUUAUCGAUUUCUAAGAUGAAAAAAUCGAUCAAGAUAAACCAAUUAUACAUUAAAUUUUUAGGUUUCGAAUCGAUUUAUACUACCUAGAUGCAUCAAUUAAGACGAAGAUAACAGAUUAAAGAUGAUCAAUCGAUCUCACCUUCGCCCUCAUCUCGCGCUCUCGAUGGCUCUACUUCGCUCCUCUCUCUCUCUCUCUCUCUCUCUCUCUCUCUGCGUCGGCGCCGAUCUUUUAAGAGAGUAACAUUAGGGCGAGCUAGGGCUUUUAUAUAGGGUAGGCUUUUGGCGGAUUGAAGAGGAAAGGGUAGUUUGGUAAUUUCACAAAGAAACUUAGAAGUGAUGGGCCUUUUAUGGGCCUAUUACCAUGAAGUGGGCCCCUCAUCAAACCAACUAGGCUUUUGUGGCGGACUCGGAUUUAAUUUGGGCCGGGCCGGAGUUGGGCUCCUUCCACGCUAUACACGUAUACGACCUCAAAAUACACGCGUUUCUGUAUAUAGCCCCCUCAAUUUUUUUUUUUUUUAUAAUUAGUGUUAGAAAUAGUUUCUCUUAUAAAAAAGGAAACUUCGCAUAUAUUAUGAUUAUCAUUUGAUUCAUGGAUUAAAUCAUUUUUCUCCAAUUGAAGUCCUCUACGUGAGCUGAUAAUUAAGUAAAAUGUUGUAAAAUGUGUUGCAUGUAAUUAAAAUCGCGAAAGCCACUCGAAAAACUCCACCAUGCACACAACAAAUCAAUGAAGGUUAGGUUAGGUUUAGGUUUAGGUUUAUGGGGACUACAAACUAUAAAGCACCCAUGCAUGCAUGCAUGUCGAUCUUUUAAGUCUCUUACCAUUGUAAUUAAUGUGUUUCUAGCUUAACUCUUGGAUGCUUACUCUAGCUUGUAGAUCAAUAAAUAAAUGGCAUCUAUUGUUGAACAAAAGCUUUAUAUAUAUCAUCUUGGAUUGCACAAACAAAUGCUCAGUGCAGUGACAAUUACUUUCUACUGCAUUGCAGGUGAGCCAAGCACUAAGGAUUAAUUAAGGCACUUGUUCCAAGCUAGCUACAUGCAAACACAGUUUCCAAGCACUCCUUUGAUUGUUCCCGAUACCAUAAUAUAUUACACUAACAAAAUCACUUCGACUAUAGAAGAGAAGGGCCUAUAUAUAUACUCUCUACCCUUCACAGUUUGAACCAUGUAUGUAUCAAUCUCACAACAUGGAUAGGGUUCUAUCUUUCCUUAUGCUCAUACUCACCUUACAUGUUGUUCUCAACUGCAACCUCUUCUUCAUGGGAGAUGCUAGGGAACUACAAAUGAAAAAGGAAUUAGUUCAUGGAAAGAUCACAAUGGAUAAUGUUGGUGAAGGAGGAGGAAUGAUAAAGAAGGUGGAGAGGUUUAAACAUGCACAAGGUAGGGUUAGGUUGAAUGAGUGGGCACUACCACCAUUGCUGCAAAAACCACUUGCACCACCAUUUCACAUGCCAAGUGUCCCUCUCCCUCCCAUGCCUUUUAUCCCUCUCUUACCUCCUCUACUACUCCCUCCAUUUCCAAGAGUCCCUGGGCUUCCUCCUGUUGAUUCCCCAUGAAGUGAUCAGGUGGUUUUGGGCUGUUUACUGUUUGUUUGGGAAGGUUUUUGGAGCAGCUCAUAUGCAUGGUGGUGUUUAAUUUGGUCUUAGUCAUAUGAUGAGUAGUAGUACUACUGGGUUAUUAUAUGAACUUUUUGUUUUAUGAUAUUAUUGGUUGUUAGUUUUGUAAGGUAACUGUACUUGUCUACUUGGUAUGUAGUUAAAUCAGGUUUAAUUUAACCUGGGUACUCUCUCUCUCUCUCUCUCUCUCUCUCUCUCUCUCUCGCAACAUUCUUUUCGGUACACAUGCAUGAGUAUGUAUGUAUGUACUGUUUACAUGUGCAUGCUGUUUAUUUGCAACAUAUCAAAACAGAAAAUAUUUAGGAUGGCCUGAAUAUAUAGAGAUAAAGGAAGAGAUACAUGUGAGGAAUUAAUUAAGUCACGACCUCAGAGAAUUGAAGGGGCUCCGAAAUAAUUAAGCCACAACCUCAGAAAAUUGAAGGGGCUCAGAUUGAUUUGAUGAAUAUAUAAUGCGCUAGAAAUAUAGUUUUAAUUAGCAAUAAUCUGGUUGGAGUUGAACCAAAUAUAAUAUGUGGAAAAACAUAUAAAGAACAAUCACGCCGUGCGUACCCGAGGUUACAGUUCAAUGAAAAUCUUUAAUUAAUUAAUUAAUUAAUUAAUUCAUAACCAUGCAUGCAUGUGGUGGGGUUCACUGGUUUGCCGCAGUUAAGUAAGAUGCACGCAGCAGGCACAUUUUGACUGUCGCAUGUUAAUGUUGUGCACAGCAAGAUGCUUUAAUGUUAGUUAUUGCUAUUGUACUGGGAUUCAGGAGCUUGUUUAUUCCUUGGAUAUUUUUUUGUAAUAUUCCCUAGCUACCUAAUGAAUAAUUUAUUUUAUUUAGUGCAAUGAAGUUUCCUGGUAGGUUCCUCAAUUAGAAGAUUAAUUAAAGUGUUGUUAGUUAGAUUACUUGGUGCAUAUUAUUAUGACUUUUUCAAGUACAAGGAGUGAUGCAAUCCACAAUAGAAUAGCCUAAAAAUAGACUCACAUCUUCGCGUGUCCAAAGAAAUUUAAGUUCUAAGUUAAAUUAAGAAUAGUGUAUGUAGGAUAUAACUGAUAAUAUCAUCACAUAUGAAUAUCAACUCGAGUUUUCUGCAUAAACAUUGGAAAAAGUUUUGUAACCGGAAUGCGGAUCCAAUCUACUGGUAAACUGAAUUAAAACGAAUUUUACAAGAAAAAGGAAAAAUGCGAAUUUCUAUUUCCACAAUGAAAAUAAGGCCCUCGGGAUAAUGGUGUAAACAUAGCAAAUGCUCUUCGAUGUCGAAAUAAUAGAAGAAGAAGAAAAAUUGGAGCUUUAAUAAAUGAUGUCCCAGCUCUGUACAUCAAAUAAAUGAAUUGUCGUCGAACCCCUCUGUAGCCACCCCCACCAUGAUAUAUGUACAUAAUGUUCCCCCCCCGCUGAUUUGUUUUUCGCAUCUUGAGAAGCCCGAGAAAUUGUAUCUUCAGUCAGAAGAGAAAAAGUGUUCUCAAUAGGUAAAAGAUGCAAAAGUCCUGAACCUGAAACAAUAUCAAAGACAUAUAAGGGAGUGAAUUCUAGAUUCAGCAAUCCUCCUCCUAGUGUCAGUAAAAAUUUAAUCAUCCAAAAAAGUGUUAUACCUUACUAAUGUUUAAGUUUUAGAGGCGCAUAUAAUCUCCUCUAUGAUGACCAUUCGGAAUGUUUCUUCGCACGAACGGUCUUCUGUUGACGGACAAACUCCUCUUUAGGGCAUGGCGGCUUCUCCAAGACGAUACACGCACGUAGAGAGAUGGAAAGAGGAAGCAAAGCAGGAGGAGAAAUAAAAUUGCAGCACAGAUCACCAUGACGUUGAUGAAGCCAUCUUUCAAUUCAGGGUUCUUUUGAUCGGUCCAUGGCACACCACCAACAUUCAUACCAAAGACUGAGAGAACGGAAGAACGGAAACUAGUGAGCCUAUUUGGUUAAGUUUAAAAAGGUUUAGCUACGAAUCUAGUCCCUAGAUUUCGACCACAAUUUUCAUUUCAUCCUUAUAAUUUCAACAAUUUAGUUCCUGAAGUUUAAGUAGUAAGUCCUAGUUUAUCAUCUGAAAAGCUGAGAUAUCAGACUCCAGCAUUCAGUUUCCCUCUGUUACAGUUGACACCCAAAGAACAAUGACAAAAACAUAUUUCUAUGUCAAAUUUCAGGACCUGAAUUUUUAUGAACUUGAAAUCAAGGUCAACCUUUAGGAAUUGAAGUGCUACAAUUGAAACUUUGAGGAUGAAAUUGAGUGCUAAAUUUGUAAUCAACCGUAAGUAUCUAAAUACAGCGAUAGGAAAGAAGUUACCUCCAGUAACGAUAGACAAUGGGAGAAAAAUCAUGGAAAGGAAGGAAAGAUAAUAAAGUUUUCUGUUUAUUUGCUCCGAUUGCCAACUGUCGAGACCAGCUUGAACGGCUAUAACUCGAUUUGUUAUAAAUCCCAAACUUUCUUUUAAUCUCCUCAGGCGUCCAAUUAGUUCUUCAAAAGCGACGACAUCUUCAUUUGUAAACCAACUUUUGCUCACACACUUCUCCUUCACUCGUGGAAACACUUGCUCACCAUGAGAAACAACCUAAAAUACACUAAAGUUAGUACAUGAGCGUGAAAUUAAUACGUACAGAGAUGUAAAUGUAAAUUAUGUCAAUACAUGUUUAAUAAGCAACCAAUGAUUCUGGAUACAAAGUCUCGAUUAUGCAGAUGGUGGUAAUAUCUUAGGACUUCUUUUCCGCAACUUCAAAGCAAAUUUGAUCCUGUUUUCGGUUCAACUAUAACGGCAUAGAUAAAAUACCUGUAGAAGGCGCUGUAAAUUCAGGUGCAUUUUGGGGAACCUUCGGUCAUCCAACAUUUGUUUCUUUAUUAAAGAACCACCUGCAGUAAAGAGUAAUACAUUAGAGUUAAGGCCAAAAACAUAUGAAGAUACAUGGAUAGAAAUUUCAUCUUCAGCAUUCUAAUUGAGUGCAAGUAUGAUAUCCCUGUUCGAUUUUCAGAGAUCUCAUGCGCAGAACAUUGCCCUUUUUAAAAAAAUAUGUUAGCAAAAAACAACAAAUGAUGAUUGAGCAAAUGUAACCAACUCAAUUUCCCCCUUUUUUUUUUCUUGUUCAAAUGGUUUUUCUGAGUAUUAGUAAUCCCUUGACAAUAACUUCCAAUUGUUCAAAAACCACCUUAAACUGCGAAUUAUCAUGUGUAAUUCAUUCUCGAUGCUCCUAAAUCCUGAUCUCUUCAAGGUAUCUGCAUCUUCCUGCUACAUCAUAUAUCAUAAGCAUGGGAAACUCAACAGAUUCAUCUCUUUAAAACUUGCCUAAAUGAGGUUGCCCUAAUUCCUAAAUCCACCUACUGCAGCAAAUUAAUUUACUCCUCCCUUCCAAUUCCCUCCCAUUUUCCUCCCUCAAUCCUAAAAAUUACCAACAAUUACGAAAAAUAGGCACAACACAAUCCGAUCAAUCUCAACAACAACACCAAUCACUCCGAACUAACAAAUCAUAAGCAGAUCAACAAAUUCCCUGCAAAAUUAACAUACCUUUGUCCAACUCGAUCUCGAUGGCGUCAAGGUCCAUCUCGAGCUUGGUGACGAUGUCCUGGACCUGGUCGACGUGCGUGUCGACGACGUGCACGACGAGGUUCGCCACAGUGCGGGGCACGGGGUUGUCGGCCUCCUCCGAGUGGUUCAGCGUGAGCAAAUUCUCGAGCACGUGCUCGGCGAUCACGACGCUCCCCUCCUCCGCCGCGACCGCAGCGGCCCCCUCCUCCUCCUCCUCCUCCUCCGGGGCAGCCACCGCCGCCGCGGCAGCGAAGCCGACGCUGGGGAUCUCCGAGAGCAGCGACUGGCCUGCGGGGGCGAACCCUAGCCUGGGGACGCGGCCCAGUGAGACGGUGAUCAGGGAGCUCUCCGUAACCCUAGCGGCCAAGCGGAGGGUGAAGGGGCUCGUCGCGGGGCCGGGGGAGUUGACGCGGAAGACGAGGGCGCCGUCGACGAGGCCACAGUAGGGGCCAUUGCUGGCGAGGGCGAGGAUCUCCUGGAGCUUCAACGGGGGGCAGAGCACCUCGAUGAGGAACUGGGCGUUGAGGGCGAGGCGCUGAGAGCCACGGGGGAGCUCCACGUGGUGCCACGUGAAGAUCCCCUCCUCCUCCUCGGCGCCGGCGCCGGCGAGGUCCCAGUCGAUGGUGGAGAAGCUCCCGGGAGGAGGAGGUGGCGGGGGCGGGAGAGGAGGGGCGAGCCCUUGCCGCGGCCCUCGGCGACGGCGGCGACGGCGGCGGCCGCGGCGUCUUCGCCGACGAGCUCCAUGAGAGGAGAGAAGAGAGAGAAAGGGAGGAGGAGAGAGAGAGAGAGAGAGAGAGAGAGAGAGAGAGAGAGAUUGGGGCCAAAUAUUUAGGGGGAGGUUAUGGAGGCGAGGAGAUGGUGAAUAGAGAGAGAGAGAGAGAGAGAGAGAUAGAGAGAGAGAAAGACGAUGGUGAUGAUAUGAUGGAUGAUGAUUUGAUGAUGAUAUUUGAAGUCAACGAGACUGGUCAACGCCAAGCGGUGGGUCACGUGGGUGGGAGUCGGAAAAAAAAAAAAAAAGAGAAAACUUGCAAAUUAUGCAUAGAUCAGACGGCUUCUUGCUCGGAUCUUAAAGCACAUUGAAGUUUGGUUAAAAUGUAUGGAGCUCCCAUAACUAUACGUCGUUCUUAAAUGAACCUUUCAAGUAUAUUUUAUUUUAUUUUAUCUUUUUGUUGAGAUCCUUAGCUUUUAAUUUCUCAGAAUCUAGUGAUUCUGUUGGUUGAUAAAUCCAACAUCAAAUCUAAUAGUUUAUAAAGUUGAACUAAUUAAUUGCUAGUAACGAAAUAAGACAUAAAACUUAACAAAAAAUACUAAGUUAAUUAACUAGAAACCUCAUUUUAAAAAUAAUUACAAGGCAAAAUAAAUGUAUCAAUCAAUAAAAAUAAAUGUCUAGCACCCACGGCUAAGUGCAUAAUAGUUUGCAUAAAAGAUCGUAAGUUCAAAUCCUAAUUACUUUAUAUUUUUUGUCGAGUUCAGAUAUAAAAAAUGCACGAAGGAGAUAACCUACCACCUUUCUCUCAAAAAAAUAAUAAUAAAAUAAAAUGUAUCCAAAAUAUAACCCAUUUAAGUUUAAAUCUGACUUUUAUGCUGAACUUAGGGCAUGUUUGGUUUAGGGUUAGAAUAAGAAAUAAAAUGACACAUCAUCUAAAUAUGUUUUGUUCAUUAUUAGAGUGAAAAUUGGAAUGAAUAGUUAGAACACCUAGAUUUUUCAGAAAGAAUUUUGGUUAAGAAAGAGGGUUUUAAGUGAUUUAUUUCGGAAUGAAUCGAUAUAAAAUUCAAAGUCGGAUUAGAGCAUAAAUGGAUUGGGUCAUUUCUAUUUCAAAGUGAAAUAAUCAAAAUUUGAUUUUUGUAAAACAAAUAACAACUAUCGGAAUCAAUAAAUUCUACUUCGAUUCCAACAUCUAAAAUAGAUGAAUCAAACAAGCUCUUAUGCGGUGGCAUAGUUGAUUUAUUGAGAUGGUAUAGAAUUUUAAACUAAUCCAAUUUAAUUUUGAAAUUAAAGUUCAAAACGAAAGAAGAACUAGAAGGUAAUAUUGGUAAUCAUUAGGGCUCAUAAUACUUCCGCCUUUCAAGUCAAAUAAAUCACAUCAAGGAAUUUCAAUGAUCAAGCAGAAAUUAUUAAUGGUUGCUGUACUUUAAAUCACAGGAUGAAAAUAGCGUGACACGACAUUGAUGUUGAUGUCGACAUUGACGACUAUGAUGGCUAGUCUAACAUUUUCGACGGUUAUGAAAAUGAUUUGCUGAUGGAUACCGCACGCAAGUCAAGUGUUCUGGUUAGGUACGUCGGGUGCGAUCGAAUCGGCAAUGGCGAUGUGCCUCACAAACCCAACAAGUUGAUCCUAGGCCAGGCAAAAUAGUUCGGACAACAGAAAGAACAACUAGGUUAACAACUGGUGGUCGGAACCACCUGACAGAUUUUCUCGGGCCUCACUUUUUGAAAUUGCAGUCCGGUCCGAUCAAUCGGGCAGGGUGGGUCGGGCCAAUUUUACUCAGAUACCGUGGAUUCACAUCAUCCAGUUAAGAUUCUUUAAGGGGAAAAAAAACCUCUAAAUGGGACAAUAUUCCUGUCUAUUUUGUUGCAAUGUUGGAUUGCGGCCCACAUUGAAUCUGAUACUGGAAUUUUUUCAUUAAAUUCGCAGUCUCAAUAGAUUUGUACAGAAGCUCAGAAACAAAUACUUCAAAUUAGAUCUUCUGUUAAUAGGAUCGAAAAUCAUAUUUACGUUUCGACAAUCAAAACUCUGAAAUGCAGCUUCUUUGGCCCGAGAAUUUAGAAUGAUCUUUUCAAAGAUGUUAAUGGAAACGAUGUUAGCUGCAGAAAGAAGCUAUUCCAAAACAGAAAAUUAAAGCUUCAUGAAACUCAAAUGCCACUCAGCAGAUGCUCUGCCACAAAAACCAAAACCCAAAUUAUGAACCCCACAGAUGCAACCAAAUUCAAAAAUUCAAAAUUGUGGGCCACAUUGAUAUAAAAGUGGGCAGAGUUGGAUCAAAAAUCAAAUUGAGGAAACCAAAGCACUACCAAAUUUGGUGGGGAAAAGUUAAAACUUUGGUGUCAGUGGUCAGAGGGGAGUCAAGGGAGAGUCAAAAAUGUCAUUAAGGACUCAGCAGACCAAAUUGCCAGACCCUCACUCUGCACCCUUUGUUGUUCACAAAAUGUUAAAUUAAUUUUAAAAAAUUAGUUUUUGUUGAAAGCGAUUGCCAAACAGGCCCUUAGAGCGAUUUACAGUCACCAUCAUGGCCCAUGGGCCCCCACAACCUGGCGCAUGUGGAAUGACACUAAUGCCCCUCGCAUCAUUCGUUUGCUGGGCCAGAGGAUAAGGGCAUUUUCGGGACUUCAGACGAGAAAAACAAAACUGUAGGGCCCAAAGAUAAUCUAUGAGGCGCGUCCCAGUGAGUCGCACCACUCCCUCCCUCUCUCUCUCUCUCUCUCUCUCUCUCUCUCUCUCUCUCUCUCUCUCUCUCUCUCUCGCAUAGGCUUGCGACAUUUUUGCAGUGGUUCGAGACUCAGAGAUCACAACUCAUCAAACAAGUGUGUAUAUAUAUAUAUAUAUAUAUGAGUUGUGCUAGAAUACUAUCGGUAGUAAACGAGCCGUUUUACUACCAAUUUGUUUUCGAUGAUAGAACUUUCAAAUUGACGAUCGGCUCCAUUGAACAUGAUCUAUACCACUUGAAGUGUUUAGAAAUCAAAUUUCAAAUCUUUUUGACAUCAUUUGCCUAAUAAUCAAAGAGUUUCAAAAUUUUUAAUUUUAAUGGUCAAUAAAAGGCGUUUUCUCGUUUAACGGCGUAAAGAUAUCCAAAUCAAUUAAAUUUUUGUUUGAAAAUUCUUUAAACUAUUUAAAACAAGAUCUAUACUCUUGAUCUUGAUUACAAGACUCCUAUCAUCAUUUUUUAAAGAGUAUUCAUUUUUAGCCAUUCAUUUUUCUGUUCACUUGAUGGAUAAAAGAAUAAUAUCGAAAGUGCGUGAAAUUUAAUUUCUAGGUAAUUUAAAUAGUUUAGAUCAUAUUUAACGGAGCCGAUCGUCAAUUUGGAAGCUCUAUCAUCAAAAACAAAUCGGUAGUAAAAUAGCUCGUUUACUACUGAUAGUAUUCUAGCUCAACACUCUCUCUCUCUCUCUCUCUCUCUCUCUCUCUCUCUCUCUCUAUAUAUAUAUAUAUAUAUAUAAGAGUAGUUAAAUGCACAUGCAUGAUUAGGAAACUAAUCAUUUAUCGAACAUCAUGCAUGUUAUGUUCCCUUAUUUUGUGAUAACCUAAAGCAACAACGAAUAUGACAAAGAGAAGGAGGACUCAACGCAUCGAUCAGAUGCGUGUUUUGCAAAGUAGAGGCGUAAUUACCUCGCACAUCAUCGUACCAUAGCACGCAAUUAUUUUACGAUCUUACUUGCGCAUUGAUAUGCGCAUUUACUGAUAUUACCGUGCUUUCACUUUUUCACAAAUCACGAUGACUUUAAAAUCAAAGGUGUAUCAGCGAGAAUCUUAAUGCACUUUUUAUGGAUCCUAACCUGCAACUAGAGAGAUCCACAUGGCAUUCAACCCAACCCACAUUCCCAAGACCCCCCCAAAAAAAAAAAAUAAUAAAGUAAAAUAAAUUAACACCCAGUACAGCUAAGGUCCUUAUCUGUUUCUCCUCCUCCCUUACACUCAUAAAAAGCAAAAAAAAAAAAAAAAAAAAAAAAAAAAAAAAAAAAAAAAAAAAAAAAAAAAAAAAAAAAUCCCUAAUUAAUUAAACCACAAAUAAUAUAUAAUAUAAUAUAAGGUUAUAUAUGAAAGCCCAUAAUAUUUUUAUUUUCUUAAUAUUUUUAAAUUAAAAACAAUUUAUGCGAGAAUCUUUGCCUCCUGCAUGAGGGACAGAGAUUCAGACCCACCCGCUGCAUGUUACCUGCGGAUAAAGAUGUAAACGACCGGGAGAAUCUCGGCCGUCAAAACAACAUCACAUCAAACUAGUGAUUUGAUGUGAUUUACACCGGGCGAUCACGUGGAUCAUCCUGGGGCACGAAUUUUCAGGAGCUUUUUCGUGCGAGGAUUAUUCAGCACGGACUUUCUGAGGAACAGCCUCUGAUUCAAAAAAUUUUAUUAAAAAAAAAACAUUUCUCCAAAAUUCUUUUAAAAAAAAAGAAAAAAAUAAUUGUCAAAAAUAAAAAAUAAAUAAAUAAAUAAUUGAGGAAAACGACAAAAGGGAAGGGAGGGGGUACAGGUAUUUAAAAUGGGAGGGUGUAUUUAUCACGCUGAGCAGAGAGUACAGUGAACAACAGGCCCACAUGGAGUACAACUGUACGAACAACGAAGCGCCGAGGGCCCAAGCUAACGUGAGCCGCCGCAUGAGAUUAACCGUUUCCGCUGCGCAUGUUAGCAGCGGGGGAGAGGAGGGAUAAAACAGUUAUUUUAUUAGUAAAUAAACAACGCGCGCUACGAAGAGUCGCGGACAACGAGGAGAAUGGUGCACAUGGCGCACGGACCGGGUCCGAACCCGGUUCAACACUUUUUUUACGAGUCGGAGCAGGAAUAUAUUAGGCAAACCAAACAUACAAAACCUCUCCGUAGGAAAAGGAAACGAAUAUUUACAAGGAAAAACCCGAGGGGAAUUUUUUAGUCCCGAACCCAAAUGUAGUAUUUGGAUGGAGGGGAAAAGGUAAAAAAAAAGAAAAAGAAAAAAUAAUAAUAAUUAAGUAGAUUAAUAAUUCGCUCAAAAAAGGGGGCAUUAAUGGGUUAAUUAAUAGAGUGUUUUUUUUUCCUUGAUUUAGGGUCCCAUUUCUUUUUUUUUACUACUAAUAAGUACUUACUCUCGUGGACCGGGUGUAGUAGGGGUUUUUCUGGGCCGCGGGCCUGGACCGGGCGGGUCGCGGUGGUUCUUCUGGGGGGAGAAGAGUGGGCCGAGCCCGAAGACCGAGACUGAUUUGGUCGAGCCGCGGAGGGAGCAAACCGGGACGUUGAGAACCGGGGUGACCCGGACGUUGGCGGAGUAGGAGCGCUCCAUCCCCCUGAGCCGGGUCUUCGGCAGACCACCUCCGGGGAAGCUCCCGGGGCUGCUCGAGCUCCGCUCCAGGCCCUGGAACACCACCUUCCCCGAGGGGUUCAUGCGGGGGCUAUCCACCGACGCCCCCCUCGUCGUCGGCGGCGGCGGCGGCGGCGGCGGCGGCGGCGGAGGAGCGGCGGCGGAGGAGGCGUCGGCGCGGCGGCGGAUGCGGGACGGGGCGGGGGAGAGCGACUCGGAGUCGGAGUCGCGGAGGAGCGGGAGGCUCAGGGAGGGCUCGAUCGCGCCCCCCGACCUCGCGGCCGCGCCGCGGUGGAGGAGGUGCUUCAGGGACCUGCUGGCGCCAGGGCUGGGAUUAGGGUUAGGGUUAGGGUUAGGGUUAGGGCUUCGGGAGGCGGCGGCGGAGGGAGAGGACGAGGGCUUGUCGCGAUCGGGCUUCGUGGGGGUGGUCCUCGACCUCCGGAGCCCGAGGAGCUCCCUCCACCGGCUCGAGCAGCUCGGGGCCUUGGGAGAGAACACGUACGGAUCCGGCCCGGCGAGCUCCGCCCUCCGCCGCAGCUCCGGCGCCGCCCCGACCUCCCCGACCGCCGCGGCGUUCGCCGCCUGCUCCGCCGCCGCGGGGGGCGUUGGCGCCGCCGCGAGCCUGAGCGGGACGAGCUUCCCGUCGGCAAAGAGCUCGUCGGCGGGGAGCAUGGCGACGGGAUCCUCCAGCCGGAACUCGAAGUCGAUGAACUCCAUCUCCCCCGCGGAGGCCUCGAGAUCCGGCGUCUCCGGCGACGGCGCCGCCGUAGCGUCGGCGGCGGAGGAGGGGGAGAGGUCGCGGCUGAAGGAAACCCUAGGGCUGAGCCAACCGUAGGAGGGGAGGAAACCCUCGGGGGAGAUGGCGACGUUGUUGACUACGGCGGAGGCCAUGAUCAACGACCAUGAAUCGGGAAAAAAAGAAAAAAAAAAAUCGCCGAGGAAGAGGAAGAGGAAGAGGAGGAGGAGCCGAGUGGAGCGGAGCCAAAUCCAAAUGCGAUUUUAUGCGGCCGUCCGGAUUAUUCGAGAGCGUACAUCAUUUUAUAAGCGGCUCGGUUUCACCCAAACCGGUCCGAUUCGGGCGAAUCAGCCAAUGAGGACGCGACACGUCAUCUGUCAUGUGGUGCUUGGAUAUCAUUGGACUCAUAUAUGGGAGGUUUGUCGCUUUCGCUCUAUAUUUUAUAUAAUCUUAUGUUUUAUUUUAUUUUUUAAUUUCCCCCUCUCGUGGUAAUAAUCCGUGAGUAAAGUUCAGUUGAUUUUUUCUUUUUUUACGUAAUAAUUUUAAAUACCAUCUAUAUGAUUACAGUUUCUUACUUUAUUAUCUUAUGAUUUAAAAUAUAUUGCUGUUAUACCAUAUAAUUUUUUUUCCCUUUUUAUUUUUUUUAUUAAUUUUUUUGUUAAAUCAGUAAUAAAAUUAAAACUAAAUAUUACUAAAGUGAAUAUUCAAUAAAUUAUAGGUGGGUAUCUGAAGUUUCAUGUGUAUAAUUUACAACAACAUAUAGACAUUUUCAGCAUCGUAGAAUACAUCUAAUGAAUGGAAUUCAAAGUUUAAUGGCUUGAUGUAUCAUAUGUUCUUUGAAUACACCGGACGCUGGCGAUUGUUUAUCUUAAUACACACUAUAAUUAUGACAACCUAUUUGGUACAUAUAAAUAAGCAAAUCUAAUUUCGAAUAUGUGCAUAUUUUUAAAAUGAUUUACUUUCGUAUGAUAAGAUAUACUGAAAUAUCAGGUGCACUCAUAUUUGUUCUGUUUUAAAUUUACAUUCGUAUAAUAAGGCAUGUCAUAUUUUUCAAUGGAUUGAUUGAAAAAACAUAUCAGGUAGUGAAAUAAGGGAUCUUGUUAUUUUUUUCCCCUUAUUUUUAGGCAAUUAAUUUGGUGAUUUUUUUUUCCUUAUUUUUUCGUUUUAAUUGAUUUUCUCUUGACUUGAAAAAGUCCUCCUCCAACCUGCGUAGUUUUUAGAAAAACAAAUGAAUUGUUAUUAAACUAAAUUACAUAAAACCACAUAUCAAAAUUCAAUUUUUCACUUUCCUCUUCAGUCAUUUAAAAAUCUACACUUUAUCCCCUUUAAAAUAAAAAAUGUUCAUUUUAUCCCCCACCAUUAAUGAUCCGAUAGAGUUCUGUUAUAAAAUCUUUUUUUUUAUGCCAAAAAUAUUCUCCAUCCUCUCUACCGUGCUUCGUCCUCCUCUACCUCGCCGCCUCACCCUCCUUCACUGUCUCGCCCUCGCCUACAUCUCCGUCCGCGCUCACAAACACCCUCUUACCCUCCUCCGCUGCGCCGCCUUCGUCCUCGUUGCCCUUGCCCACCUUUUCAUCCACGCUCAUCUUGAUUUCCUUCCUACUGCCGCCGAAAUGGAGGAGCGACGAGGAUGCAGGAGAAGAAGGGGAGCAGGUGGAGAAAAAAAUGGAGAGGAUCCGCGGCGGAUCGAGGCGUGAACUACGGCCGAUCGAGGCGGCGGAUGAGCGAGAUGAGGGAGGAGACGAAAAUGGUGUGGGCCAAAAUUGUCGCUUUGUCAUCACAUUUCAUACCGUACCUCGCUGUGAACAUUUUUUAUUUUACGAGGAGGCAAAGUGCAGGUUUUUAAAUGAUAGGGUAGAAAGUAAAAAAAUCGGAUUUUGACGGAGGAGUUUUAUGUAAUUUAGCCUUGUUAUUAUUUAGGGAUAGUUGCAUAUGGCUCUCUGCAAAAUAAUCAAAUAAUAAAUAUGUCUUUAUAAAAUUUAAGUUAUCAAAUUUAUCUUUUUAAAAGUCUUUUCGUCUGCAAAUAUAUAUUCUUAUAUUAUCGAAAUUUAGAUAACUAUGAGUUAAAAAAAAGUAACCACAAUUAGCUAAUAACUUUUUUAUCCUUUAUAUAUAUAAAUAAUUUUUAUUCCAAUGUUAGAGUCAUGUCAUCUUUCUAAUACUCUCCUCUUUAUCCACGGCGACGAGUACAACGCGUGUCCCACGGCAAAAGUGAGGAGAAAACAAAUUUGUAAUGACAAAAUAGUCAUUUUACGUACCCACCAGUAAAAACUAACGGUAAAUCACACAAUAAGAACAUAUAUGAAUACUAGCUAAUAGGAGCUAGGAACUUUUGAAUGGAUAUAUUUGCAAAACCAAUGAAUUUUUAAAAGAUUAAAUCUGAUCAUUUAAGUUUUGUUGAAUUUAUCUAUUAUUUGAUAUAGAGACUUGUAUGAAAAUUAACCCUAUUAUUUAUAUAAACCCCAUCUAAUCUCUCUUUUAAAUUAUACAAAAUUUACAAAAAAACAAAAGAUUUAUAUUUGUAAGAGACCAUGCAUGAUUAGUUGUUCAUUAACUUCAGCAACUGUUGCUUGUAUUAAAGGCCAUUUUAUUUUGCCCGAGAUCUGACACCCACUUAUUAGAGAAACAGUAAUGCAGAAUAGGAUAAAUCACUCACAACUUUGUGGAACUAUACAUGAACAUGCAUAUAUAUAUAUAUGCACACACACACAUACGUAACAGUGUUACAUUUUUCACAUGUGAAUUGAAUCGACCAUCUCUGUCUUGAUUCCAAUCAGUAUCCAAACAUUGUAUCGAAUUAUUUUCACCUUUUUUCAGAUCCUUUAUUAUGAGUACAUCAUUUAUUCUCCUCACUUUAUCACCAUGCCCAUAUAUCUAUCACACUUUUCCUUACCUUUUACUUUUUCAAUCAUCUCUUUGAAUAUACCAUCUUUUUAUUACUUAGGAGAGGAGUUUGUCCAGAAUAGGAAGAUCUGAUCAGUGUAAUAAGCCCAACAUGAGCUAGCCUAGGAUGUGACAUAGAUCUUAAAACUCUUCCACUUCAAAACUAUUAAAAAACCUCUUUUUUGGGCCCUUUUUCCAAAUCAAUCCUUUAAAUUGGUACUUGCCAUUUUAUUUCUGCCUCCAGAGUAUGUUUAUUUCGCCAAAAGUGUAGAGGAAUAAAGUAAUUUUAUCGUAAAUAUAUACUUAUUUUGUUAUUAUCCAAAAUACUGAUAUUGACUUCGACCCAUUAUAUGCUGCUCAUUUUCUACUAAACAAAUAAUAAAAUUAGAAGAAAUUUAGUUCCACAACUACGAAAAUAAACAACGAAAGAAAAUUUUUUUUUUUUUUUUUACUUUAACUCUAAUUAACUCGAACGUUUGCUUCAACCUGAACUCCACCUUCAAUAAAACAAACAGACCGUAUAAGCUACAGAGAUGUCGAAUGCGGUUUGCACGGUGGCACACCAAGUGCAUGCAUAUUUCUCUUGAAGUGCUGAGUGGGCAUGUGUGCGUACAUGUAGAGUCCAGCUACUACAUUCUUAUGAGCACAAUCGUAUUCGUACUCAUAAGUCGUUUUCAAUGAUAAAACUUUCAAAUCAAACGAUCCAUACCGUUAAAACACUAUUUAGAACAUUUGAAACUUUUAGAAAUUAAAUUUUAUAAUUUUUCAAUAUCACUUAUCUUACGAUCAAAAGAUCUCAAAAUUGACAACUUUUAAUAGCCGGUAUAAGAUAUUUGCUAUAUUAACGGUAUAAAGACUCGAAAUUAGUUGAUUUUUUGAUACAAAUUAUAUUCACUAUCUAGAUAAAAAAUCAAUAACUCCGAUUUUAAAUUGAAAAAUUCGAUUAUCGAUUUUUAGAAUUUCAUUCAAUUUUGAUUGUUCAUUUUAUGUCCGCUUGAUAGAUUUUAUUAUAAUUUUGAAAAAAUUUAAAAUUUAUUUUAAAAAAGUUUUAAAUACGCUAAAUCAUAUUUAACGGUGUGGAUCGUCAAUUCAAAAGCUCUGUCAUUGAAAAUAACUUAUGAGUAUGAAGAACUCUAUACUCAUACCAGUAUAGUAGCCCUACUCUCUCUCUCUCUCUCUCUAUAUAUAUAUCUAUUACAUAAUAUGAAUCCUCAAUAUUUUUGCCACGUGGCACCCCCUCCCUCACCCUUUUACUCCCAUUUCCCUUCUUUCCCCGCUAUUGCUAAUUGUCACCUCCAAUAAAUAAAUAAAUUUAUUAAUUUUUUAAUUAAAAUUAACAAUCCUUCAUUACCUAUUGGGGGCAUUUAUUACCCUUCAUUUUUAUCCUUACCAUUACAUCCCUCCACUACCUAUAAUAAAUAAAUUUACUGAUUUUUUAAUUAAAAUUAACAAUCCUUCACUACAUAUUUAAGACAUUCAUUUCUCUUCAUUUUUACCCUUACCGUUACAUCCCUCCACUACCUAUUUAAGACAUUUAUUUUCUUUCAUUUUUAUGCCUAUAUAAUUAAAUUAAAUGCCUACUUUCAAUGAAUGAUUCUUCAAUGUAAUUGACAACUUCUUCUCAUAUCUUGGUGAUGCUUUUACUGUCUACAAUUAGUUAGUAUUUUGGGUUUCUUUUUAAGACUUCUAAAAUUGAGUUUUUAUUGAUCGUCGUCUCCACCAAGUGUGGGCACUAUGCCGACAGGUUCGACUUUAGAGCCAAGCACGUGUCGCGCGGCGUCGACGAGAGUCUCACCCGCCCACGUAUGAAGUGUCGGAUGGUAAGGUAAGGAAUUUGUUUACUUUAUCUUACUUUAUGAUGAUUAGCUUACCUUUUAAUCUUUUUUGCUUUGUUUAUAAAACUACGAUGUUUUUCUUAUCCUGUUAUUGUACUCUUCAUCUGGUAGUUCUCUUUUAUUAUUAGACCUUCUUAUAAGGUCCUCGGUUGGUAGUUCUGACUGCGAAGGGGUUAAGGAGAGUUUUUUCUUCAUAGAAGUAUCGUACUGUGUCGGAUAUCUUAUUAGUUUCGUAAAACAUUACUAGAAGUUUUAUAGAUAAAUAAGAUCGUAUUUCUGUCUAUCUCUUUCCUUUGUCUUGUUAUUUAUUUUUAUUUUUGUGGUUAAUGAAACGGUUUAUCUAAAAAUUUUAUCUGUUGUAAUUGAAAGUUAAUUGAGUUUUAUCUGACGUUUGGGUCUUUUAUUUUCAUAUUUAAAAGAACGUAUUUAAUGUCGUGUUUUCUCGGAGUUUUGGAUAACACUCAAUGAAACUCAAAACUUAUGAGUUGAAACUUAUAUUUUUAGUUCUAUCAAAUGGUAAUAUAGCAAUCUUUGACUUACUUAGACUUUAAAUGUACCAAGGCAUUAAUAGAUAUACUUCUUUUAUUUUUAUAUUCGAAUAUGAAAUACAAAGAAGUCCAUUUUUUAUAUUUAGAAAAUUAUUUUAGGAUAGAAGGAGAAUAAGGUUCUUUUUUCAAGUUUGUUUUAUGGUUUAUUUUGAAAGACUUUUUAGUAUUAGCUCUUUUGAUUUAAUCUCUUUAUAUCUUUAAAACUAGUUUAGUAUCAGCUCGAACUNAUUAAUUUGAAUUGCUUUCUUCUUCUUUUUUUUUUCUUUUUUUUUUAAUGUUUGAUUUGAUAUGGCGACGUAAAUUGAUUCAAAUUAACCUGCAGAGAUUAAUUGACGAUAUGGAACGUUCCAUGGACAAUCCGAGUCGAUCCGGUAAACUGCUAGGAAGGUUCCUUUGAUUUUUCCUCCUUAGCAGUGCAAUUCAAUUAUAUCUGAAGCUGAGAAGUGAUUUUUUUUUCAAAAUUUUGCAGUGGCCUCUCCUAUUGUCUUUGCUUUUAUUGCCUGUCACUCAAGUUUUUGUAUUGGCUAUAGCUCACUGCAUAUAACUAUUACUUUUGUUGAUAUUUUACUCUUUCUAAAAUUUUACUACAAUGCUCUUCAUUGUGAACUAAUAUUUUAAUACUGGCAUACUAUAAUUUUAUUUACUUAUGUUCAUAUUUUAUUAUUUAUAAAUUUUUUACUUUAGCAGUAAUUACCCGCCGCAUCGCGCGGGUACCUACACUAGUAUAUAUAUAAAGAGAGACAGAGAGAGAGCAGGCCUACUGUACUAUUAUAUAUAUAUAUAUAACUAGGCUGGAAUACUAUUAAUAGCACCAAGUUAUUGGUACUCUUAUUUUUUAGCUCUUGGAUUGAGAAAUGUGCGAUUAGGAUAAUGUGGACCCCCUAGGGUUGAGUGGGUGGUUGGUUAAAUAAUAUAAUCUAACGGGUAAAAAUAAUCAAAAUGGUUAAUCUAACGGCAGAAAACUUGAUAGCACCAAGUACUUGGUACUAUCGAUAGCACAGCAGCCGGACUCUAUAUAUAUACAUACUCUUAUGAGUACGAUCGCCUUCGUAUUCAUAAGUCGUUUUCGAUCAUAGAGCUUUCGAAUCGACAACCAUACCGUUAAACAUUAUCUUGAAUAGUUAAAACUUCUAGAAAUCAAAUUUUAUAAUUUUUUGAUAUCAUGUACCUUAUGAUCAAAAGUUCACAAAAUUGACAAUUUUUAACGGCCGAUAUAGGAUACUUACUAUGUUUAACGGUGUAAAAGAAUUGGAAUAGGGUGAUUUUUUAAUAGAAAAUUCUAUUCGCUACCUAGAUAAAGAUCAAUAACUCUGAUCUUAAAUUGAAGGAUCCGAUCAUUCAUGUUUAGGACGUCGUUCUAUUUCGACCGUUCUUUUUAUACCCACUUGAUGGACUUUAUUAUGAUUUCGAAAAAUUAUAAAAUUUAUUUUCUAGAAGUUUCAAAUAUUCUAUAUCAUAUUUAACGGAAUGGAUCGUUGAUUUGAAAACUUCAUCAUCAAAAAUAAUUUUAAUUUAUAAGUAUGAAGGACUUUAUACUUAUAAGAGUAUAGUAGUCGGACUAUAUAUAUAUAAAAUUGAGCUCCUAUAUUUUUAAAAGUAUCAAGUCAUUGGUGCUUGUAAGUUUUCGACUCUUGAAUUAAGGAAUGCGUGGCUAGGAUGAUGUGGGCCCUCUAGGGUUGAGUGAGUGGUUGGUUAAAUAGUAUAAUCUAACGGAUAAAAAUGAUCAAAGACGUAGAUCUAAUGGUAAAAAAUUUACAAACACCAACUAGUUGGUACUUUUACAAGCACUAUAGCCGAACUAUAUAUAUAUAUAUAUAUAGAGAGAGAGAGAGAGAGAGAGAAUUGAGCUCCUAUGCUUUUAAAAGUACCAAGUUAUUGCUGCUUGUAAGUUUUCGACCCUUAAAUUAAAGAAUGUGCGGUUAGGAUGAUGUGGGCCCCCUAGAUUUUAGUGGUUAGUUGGUUGAAUAGUAUAAUCUAACGGGUAAAAAGGAUUAAAGGCGAAGAUCUAAAGGUUAGAGUGUUCACUUUUCAUGUCACAUGAAAAACACGUGACCUCGAUAUUUUUUUGGGCCUCCCCCCCCCCCCCCCCCCCACCCACACACUCUCUCUCUCUCUCUCUCUCUCUCUCUCUCCUACAUUGACCCACCUCGGGUGCCGCGCGCUCCCCCUCCCUCAACGCACGCGCACGUGACUCCCUACCCCACACGCGCCACCACCUUAUCUCCUCUCUCUCUCUCUCUCUCAUCUCCACCCUCCCUGGCGCCCACUCGUUCCAUCUUUGCCCCUACAAUCCUGGGAAAUUACAAGCAGCCCCCGUCCCCUCGCUUUCCCGGGUGGGCCCCACCGUCGUUUGCGACGGCGGCGACGGCAUCACCGUUGGUCCGUUUCAUCAUCUCCUGCCGCAGCCGCAGUUUUAAGGGGGGGAGCAACUUAAUCAUUCGGAGCCCCGCGAAAUUACCAUGAUGCCCCUCCGUCUUGUCGCUAUCUCCCGCGCCCUAGAUCGCGGCAUGCGCCCGAGGGCAGUUUCGGAAAUUCCGCUUCGGUGUCGGAGGAUCUGAGAGAGAGAGAGAGAGAGAGAGGGGUUAAAUCAGGGCCGUACGAUCAGCACGGAGCGGAGCGGGGGCAUGUUCUUCGUGUCAUGAUGUGAUGACACAUGCGCCGAACAUUUCAUCGCAUUCGGUGCACCGUCCUAUCGCAACAGACUAGUCCCAAGACCGAGUUCGCCACGUCAUCCACAGACCGUUAAGAGGCGAGAGUGGUGAACUGGGCGCACGCAGUAGCAGUGUCAACCAAGCGGUUCACGGGAUUCGCUUGCUGACCCCACGCGGGGCGUGGGGCCCAUCGUGACACGUGUCACGACGGCGACGCUGCAGGGGGUGUGGGGAACGGUUCCCGCGCUGGAUUAAUUUUGCUGUCGCCACGUGGUCUGUAUUAGCUGUGCCUUCUGUCCUUCGUCGUACACCUGUCCCUUUCCGCUUAAACUAUUGGCCUCGUAUUUUCGCUUAUUUACGGAAAAUGCCAUGGCCUUUUAGAUAUUUUUGCGUGGGCCUUGUGCACUGAGGUCUUAUUUUUAUUUUAUUUUUAACAAUUAAAAAAUAUAUAGUUUGGAAUUGAGAUGUUCAAAUUCUUCCGUUUUAAUACAACUAAUGUGAUUACGUUCACAAGAGAAGUACUCCACUUAUGAUUCUACGUAUUAAUUAUGAACAAUAAGCUUAAAUAUAAUUGGACGCAUGUAAUUAAAAUCCAGUUGAAACUUAGAGGACCAAAAUAAUAUUAUGCUGAAAUUUCUUUAGUAAUAUUUUUCAUCAUGAUGACAAUUUUAUAUAUCAAUUUUCCAAAUAAGUAUCAAAUAAAUUCAAUUGAAUUUCUCAAAUUGGGCACUUGGGUGCAUCCAAAGUGUUCUAAAUGUGGACCCAAAAUUGAUGUGGUGGCGCACCAAUUAAGGUCCCGCCAACAACAAGGAAAAAGGAAAAAGAGCAAUGGUAUCUUAUCCAAAAAAAAAAAAAAAAGUAGCCUUUUUGGAUGCAUGGCUCUUUAAUAAUUGCUUACCUGUGUAGGCAAAGAGAUUUGGGGAAAAAAAAAGAAAAGAGGUAAAAGGGUUGGUAUCUCUUUUUUUGUUUUCUUUUCUUUUUUUUUUUUUUUUUUUUUUUUUUUUGCUUUUUGGAUGAGGAGCACCUUCUCCCUUUCAAUUAUUGCAUGCACCUAGUGUACCUGGCACUAUCGCGCUCUUAAAAUCUUAUUAUAAAAGUUUUAAAAUAGAAACUUAACUUACUGGAUAUGUUCUGCGGCAUUGAGAGAGCCUGGAUAUAGAAAACUAUAAAUUUUGACCAUCUAUUUUGUAUAAAUCGAACAAUAUUUCUUCCUAUAGUUGAUUUUGAGCUCUCUAAUGCCUAAGUAAUAUAUUUUCGAAUGUAUGAAUUUUUGAAGAAAUUAAUUUUAGAUAUUAAUCAUCAAAUACUGAGUGUGGUGCAUGGUCGCAAAGUUGCGGGUAAUAAUUAUCUCCUCCAUCACUUCCAUGUGAUGUUGUGAUGAAGGAGGUGGAGGUGCUUUUAUCAUUUGACUCACUCCAAUCUUAAGGGGGACAACAUCAGCUUUUUGUCAUUGGGGCAUGGGAUCCUAAUCUCUUUAGUACUCAUGUUAUUAUCUCUAAAAUCAAUUAAAAUAAGCUUUGCAGUGCUCCUUUUUUAUCAUUUAUGGAGCUUUUUUGGUCUCUCUCUCUCUCUUGAGAGUAAAAAAAAAAAAAAAGAAUUUUCUUUUGUGGGCUUUUUGGAAUGGCAGAAAAAGGCAAAAAAAGAAAAAGCAGCCACCAAUUAAAAGCCAUGUGAUGGUUUGAGAUCUUAACCCAUAAUUCCCAUCUACAUGAUUGUUAAUGAACAUGCUUUGUGCUUUUUUAUUAUUCAUUUUAUAUUGUUGCUUUAUUUGUACUAUCAUACCAUUAUAAAAAACCUUACAAAUCCUUUUGUAGAUCAUUAAUUUGGCCUUUCCUGUCUCUCUCUCUCUCUCUCUUUUGAUGCUUUAAUUUGAUCUACCAAGUUUCCUUGGAAGGUAAUAUGCAUCAUAUAUAGAUAAAAAUACACUUUAAAGUAGAUACAUUGUAGUUUACCAGGAUUUUGAGUAUUUUAGCCUAUAAACACCCCAAAAAAAAACCGAUUAAAAGGGGAAAAAAAAGAUAAUGUCUUAGAAAAGGCCCUAUUUCUGUUCCGAAAAUGGAUUCCUAUAGCUAGUACAUAGUAACUUACCAUACAAUCAAAUAAUGGAGCAAUUAAAGGAGCUAGGAACCUCAUAGAUGGUUAUUAAAACAAGUUAAGCUAUAAGCUAUAGAUCAAGUACCCACUAGGGCAAAUGUGUUGUUGGCUCAAACCUAAGACCAUAAAAGGCCCAUGGAAAUCUAAGACAAGGAGCCAAGCAUAAGAGAUGGAAAUAGUUUCACUUUGGCAUUUCAUGUACUUAUUACUCAAUCAUGAAAAAGAAUUUACUUAGACACUUCAUUUGACAUAAUUACAUUUCGUAAGUUGUGGGGCAAGUUACCGAAUCACCUUACCACGGUGGUUUGAUAUGAUCGUAGAUUAAUUCUACAGUAACUCUACUGUAGAGUGCAGUGCUAUUAAAU
rnacentral:lncRNA from 1 species